rnacentral:rRNA from 1 species
UACAGAGGGUGCAAGCGUUAAUCGGAAUUACUGGGCGUAAAGGGUGUGUAGGUGGUUAUGUAAGUUAGAUGUGAAAGCCCCGGGCUCAACCUGGGAAUUGCGUUUAAAACUGUGUAACUAGAGUAUUGUAGAGGAUAGUGGAAUUUCCAGUGUAGCGGUGAAAUGCGUAGAUAUUGGAAGGAACACCAGUGGCGAAGGCGACUAUCUGGGCAAAUACUGACACUGAGACACGAGAGCAUGGGGAGCAAACAGG